rnacentral:rRNA from 1 species
AGGACGAACGCUGGCGGCGUGCUUAACACAUGCAAGUCGAGCGGUAAGGCCCUUUCGGGGGUACACGAGCGGCGAACGGGUGAGUAACACGUGAGCAAUCUGCCCUUCACUUCGGGAUAAGCCUCGGAAACGGGGUCUAAUACCGGAUAUGACUGCGCCAUGCAUGUGGUGUGGUGGAAAGUUCUGGCGGUGAGGGAUGAGCUCGCGGCCUAUCAGCUUGUUGGUGGGGUAAUGGCCUACCAAGGCUUCGACGGGUAGCCGGCCUGAGAGGGUGACCGGCCACACUGGGACUGAGACACGGCCCAGACU